rnacentral:rRNA from 1 species
ACGGGAGGCAGCAGUGGGGAGUAUUGCACAAUGGGCGCAAGCCUGAUGUAGCAACGCCGCGUGAGUGAAGAAGUUAUUCGUAAUGUAAAGCUCUAUCAGCAGGGAAGAAAAUGACGGUACCUGACUAAGAAGCCCCGGCUAACUACGUGCCAGCAGCCGCGGUAAUACGUAGGGGGCAAGCGUUAUCCGGAUUUACUGGGUGUAAAGGGAGCGUAGACGGCUUUGUAAGUCUGAUGUGAAAGGCAGGGGCUCAACUCCUGGACUGCAUUGGAAACUACAGAGCUUGAGUGCCGGAGAGGUAAGCGGAAUUCCUAGUGUAGCGGUGAAAUGCGUAGAUAUUAGGAGGAACACCAGUGGCGAAGGCGGCUUACUGGACGGUAACUGACGUUGAGGCUCGAAAGCGUGGGGAGCAAACAGGAUUAGAUACCCUGGUA